CUGACUCAUGGACUUUGCUUCGAGAGCUGAGAGACCAGUAGAAAACAGGUUGCAAGUCCUGCAAAGAACACAGAAUGCUGUCCUGUGACACAGCGUCCAGAUUCAGGGGGGCAGACAGCUGCUGCAAACAACAGCUCAUCAGUGAAGGCAACCCUGAGAAGGAGACCUUUGAGGCCAGCCAGCAAGAAGCCUUUGGGAGGCCCUGUGCUUGGACGGAGCAUCCUCUGUCAUCCAUUCCCUGUUCCUCCCUGAUGGGCUCCCUGCACGUUUCCCUCUGGCCUUCUCCCCAGGCGGUUACCAGCUAGGACUGGCUAAAAGCUGGAGCUCCGGAGUCGGACACAUACCGGCGCCAAUCCAGCAUUGCUUCACGGCUAGAUGUUCAACCGGCCCAAAGCUGUUUGGUCUCUCUAGGCCUCCGUUUCCUCCUCUUGGAGGAGAGGAUCCGUGUCAGCAAGAAUUCAGCAUCCCGGGGUCAAUGUGAACUCAGUCCACCACCCACUAUGUCUCAUGGGUGCUCACUGUGAUCUACGCCCUCCCUGAGACCCACGUCCCCCUUGUGAUCCGUGUCCUCCUUCUGAUCCACAUCCUCUGCAUGAUCCACGUUCUCCCCAGGAUCUACGUCUUCCCCGCGAUCCGCGUUCUCCCCGGGAUCUACGUCUUCCCCGCGAUCCGCGUUCUCCCCGGGAUCUACGCCUUCCCCGCGAUCCGCCUUCUCCCCGGGAUCUACGCCUUCCCCGCGAUCCGCGUUCUCCCCGGGAUCUACGUCUUCCCCGCGAUCCGCGUUCUCCCCCGGGAUCUACGUCUUCCCCACGAUCCGCGUUCUCCCCAUGCUGCAGUCCCAGACCAAGUUCUAGUUGCCCACUAAAGCCUAUGCCAACCAUGGCAGAUGGGGUGGUUGCUCCUUCCCGGGAAGGGAAGCCUCAUGGGCUCUUGAGGCCAGAUUAAACCCUGGUCAAGUGAGAGACCAAUGAAGUCCAGCUUUGAGCAGUGAGACAUUUUCCCCAUGAGUUGAGCCUCAUUUCCUUGCCUUUCUUAUGCUGUCCCUGUCUGAAAUUCUCUUCCCACGUGCUCCAUUGGCCAAGUCUUGCUCCACGGGUCCCUUCACACUCCUUUCCCCAGGAAGCUCACCUCAGCACCCCACGUCUGGUUAGGUGCCCUUUC